UGGGGAAUAUUGCACAAUGGGCGCAAGCCUGAUGCAGCCAUGCCGCGUGUAUGAAGAAGGCCUUCGGGUUGUAAAGUACUUUCAGCGGGGAGGAAGGUGUUGUGGUUAAUAACCUCAGCAAUUGACGUUACCCGCAGAAGAAGCACCGGCUAACUCCGUGCCAGCAGCCGCGGUAAUACGGAGGGUGCAAGCGUUAAUCGGAAUUACUGGGCGUAAAGCGCACGCAGGCGGUCUGUCAAGUCGGAUGUGAAAUCCCCGGGCUCAACCUGGGAACUGCAUCCGAAACUGGCAGGCUUGAGUCGUGUAGAGGGGGGUAGAAUUCCAGGUGUAGCGGUGAAAUGCGUAGAGAUCUGGAGGAAUACCGGUGGCGAAGGCGGCCCCCUGGACAAAGACUGACGCUCAGGUGCGAAAGCGUGGGGAGCAAACA
rnacentral:rRNA from 1 species